AAAAUCGGUACAUAUUGUGCUAUUUGCGCCGAUAGUGGGAUCCUAGCUUAAGACAUAGAUUAUUGUUAUGUUAAUAUAGACUUCAACAAGAAAGCCGAACGACGACAAAGCGAAAAAUCAUCCUAAAAUAUAAUCUUUAUCACGUUGUAGCUUAUGUAAUUAUAUCGGCUCCCUUUCCAGAGAAGCUCUAGGGCAGUGAAAUUUAUAUCUUUUGACUGAAUUGUCCGUUCCUUCCUCCUCGAUUUUGCAUCCCAAAUCUGAGCUAGAGAUUUAGAUCGCACUCAUCUUAAAAAAUUUUAAUUUUCGAUUUUGUGUGAAAAGGCCCUUUUGUUGUCUGCCAAAAAUAUUAUGCUGAGCUUCUUCAUGUUUUGAAGGCACGCUACAUUUUCUGUAAAUUAGUUAAAGCAAAUAGUAGCAUAACAAAAAUACCAUCAAAAAUAAUAACUGCCCUUACUGACAAGCAGAUAUCAGACAAGAUUUAUGGUAGUGAAACAGAAUGAAAGCUUAGGUCUAAUUCAAAGGGAUGAAUUAGUGGCUGGCAUUAAAUCUAUCAAUAGUAUAGCAGUAAAUCGGGAAUUCACUUGGUUUUGUGAUGAGCAUCAGAAAAAAUUUGGUUGUACGAAGUAACCUGUUUUAAGGCAGUUUUGUGUGAAUUUAGCUUUAAUUAAAUAUUCAUCCAAGCUUGGAUGACGAUUUGCAAUAAAACAUAAAAGUUUAGGUACAUUUUAGCUGGAAACUCAAUUCAAAUAUUGGAUUUGGCCUAUGUGUGUUCAAAAAAGUCAUAUCUCAUAACACACAUACAUAAUAUAAGUUCAUCAGAACAACAUUGUUUCGUUUAUUUCAGCAUUUGCUUUAACCAUUUAUUGAACCACAGACAAAUGGUCGAGUUAAGUUGAUGCUUAAAAAACUGUGAUUUUUCUAUUAUGUAAUUUUUAGACUUGAUUUGCGAUUCGAACAGACAAAAUGGCAAGAAUACACAUUUUUUUUUAUUUUUCUUUUGCGUGAAUACAUGAUUUUGAAUUGUGUAAAUGAAUAAAUCAAUGGAUCGAAAUAAUAAAAAAAGCAAGUUUUAGAGAGUACCUACAUAUGUAUUCCCUUUUUUUUGUUUGCUAUUCAGUCAUGCAGGCCAAC